GACAGCAGUAGCCGCGGUAAAACGGAGGAUCCAAGCGUUAUCCGGAUUUAUUGGGUUUAAAGGGUGCGUAGGCGGCCUGUUAAGUCAGGGGUGAAAGACGGUAGCUUAACUAUCGCAGUGCCCUUGAUACUGAUGGGCUUGAAUGAACUAGAGGUAGGCGGAAUGUGACAAGUAGCGGUGAAAUGCAUAGAUAUGUCACAGAACACCAAUUGCGAAGGCAGCUUACUAUGGUUUUAUUGACACUGAGGCACGAAAGCGUGGGGAUCAAACAGGAUUAGAUACCCGCGUAGUCCCUGUCUCUUAUAC
rnacentral:rRNA from 1 species